ACUUUAAUUCUCUAAAGCCCUAAUUUCAUCUCCUUUUCCUUUCACGGCUGCACAUCACAGAGACAAACACACCUAAACUCUUCUUCUCGACCACGCAUCACAGAGAAGACCACCACUUUGGCCGCGCAUCAUCUUCUCGUCGUACAUCGGCUCCAGCUCCCUUCACCGUCAUGACUCCACCUGUGACCAAGCACCUACCAACGUGACUUCGCCCGUGACCACUGGAGGACUACCGCAAACUCUGGCCAAAACCCUAGAGGACCUGAAGUUCUCUCUUCUCACUGAAACACUCGCCUUAAGGGUUGCAUCAUUGUCUUUCUACUUUACCCUCAAUGGGAAACCCCUUCUCGGUUCCACUACGUUUUCUCUUAUUCCUCCUUUUUUCCCUUAAUCUUAAGAACCAGGGUCCUUAGAGGUGGUGGCGAUGGCGGUGCAACAGGGGCUGAGUCGCAUGACUGCUACCUUAGUAUGUACGCAGAGAAGAAACCCGUUAAGGCCGACCCUGACGAGCAGAGGUUGUCCAAGUGGGUGAAUUGUGCUCUUUCUAACGAGCCUUUGAGGUAACCUUGUGUGAUUGAUUGGCUUGGAAAUGUUUUCAAUAAGGAAUUGCUUGUUCUGGCUUUGUUUCAAUAUUCACCUCAUCUAGGAAGUCAGACUUCAAGGAAACAUUUUCUUGUAGAUUUCUUCCACUCGGUCGAAACUGAUUGGUGAUGACUUAAUAUUGAUGAAACACUUGUGCUGAUCUCAAUCCAUUAACAUUUAGUAGUACAACGUGGUAACAAACUGUUGACAAAUUGGUACCAUAAAACUCUUCUUCCAGGCUUUAUCACAUUAAUCUGAUGCCAUUUGUGGAUGAGUUAACAUCUAGCAGUACAACGUGGUGUGCAGUCUGUGGAAGCUGAGAUUGAUGCUAACAAAUUUUCGGUUCGAACUUGCUCAGCAAAGAUACAAGCUCUUUUAGAUUUCAAGGAGUUGAUGAUAACAAUCGAUGAGACUUUGAGUUUUGUGUUAUCUAAUAGUGUGGUGCUUUGAGGGUGAUGUCUAUGUUUCCUAUUAUUACAUGUACUUAUUGUUUUAUGAUUAAGAAUGAUGAUCAUAUCUUGUUUUGUAAUAUGAAUAAGGAUGAUGUUCAUAGCUUUUCAUAACAUGAUACUUGAAACA